CCACCUAAAUACCUCUAUCUCAUGGCUCCCAUAUCUCCAGGAAAAGCCUUUUAAAAGAAAUAUCCAUGAAAUCCUUGGGCAUUCUGAAGCCAUCUUUCUCCAUUAUCCAAACAUCAGCAUCUACUGUUUCUUGGCAGAUUUCACAAAGGGCUGCACACCAGGAGACGAAAAGACAUACUUGUUUCCUCUUUGACCUUCCACCAUGAUUGUAAGUUUUCUGAGGCCUUCCAGUCAUGUUCCUGUCUAGUCUGCAGAACUCAUUUUUGUUGCACAUGUUGGAUCUAGGAAGUAGCCAAGGACACUAAAAACACAAUGGAAGAGAAAUACUCAGGUUCUUUCUCUACAGAAGAUACCUAAAUGUUUUGAUAGAACAGCAGUAGUUGUUAACACAACAUUCAUAAUCACAAUUGUACAGGUAUGUAUUUUGUCUGUGUUACAUGUAAGCCUCAGAUUUUAAA